rnacentral:lncRNA from 14 species
GCCAGCCGAGGCGACGCCAGAGCGCCCGGCCCCGCCGCCCCGGCCCCGGCAGUGUCUAAGGCGGAAACAAGGAAUCUGCAUUUGAUUGGAGGGAGACUGAUGGCUGCUGCCCUUCCAUGAUCACGUUCCCUGUAGUGUAAAGCUGCGGUUGCCAGUUAACUGCCUCCUUUGUGGGCCGUGGAGGCCAGCUCCAAACCACCUGCUGAGGAUCCUGCUUAACACACCUCCCUCCCAGAGCUGUCCUCUUCAAGUCCUGCUUUCCGGUGACCUUAAAACAGAACACCUGAGUGCUCUCUGUCUUGGACUCUACCCAGUGGAAUUGGAAAUUGGUUUCCUUUGAGACGGUUUCAGGUCCCAUAGAGUACGGGUUAGCUGACGGCUUCUUCCAUUGUGACUCCCUCUUCACGGUGUCCUGCCCUGUGGGCUUCAGAGCCAUGGCCACGGAGGAGAAGAAACCAGAGACAGAGGCUGCAAGAGCACAGCCCACUCCUUCCUCAUCAGCCACACAGAGCAAGCCUACACCUGUUAAGCCAAACUAUGCCCUGAAGUUCACCCUGGCUGGCCACACAAAAGCUGUGUCCUCUGUGAAGUUCAGCCCCAAUGGGGAGUGGCUGGCAAGUUCCUCUGCUGAUAAACUCAUUAAAAUUUGGGGAGCAUAUGAUGGAAAGUUUGAGAAAACUAUAUCUGGUCACAAACUGGGAAUAUCUGAUGUAGCCUGGUCAUCAGAUUCUAACCUCCUUGUGUCUGCCUCUGAUGAUAAAACUUUGAAGAUUUGGGACGUGAGUUCCGGAAAGUGUCUGAAGACCCUAAAGGGCCACAGUAACUAUGUCUUCUGCUGCAACUUCAACCCCCAGUCCAACCUCAUCGUCUCAGGGUCUUUUGAUGAAAGUGUGAGGAUAUGGGAUGUGAAGACAGGGAAGUGCCUCAAGACUUUGCCUGCCCAUUCGGAUCCAGUCUCAGCCGUUCAUUUCAAUCGUGAUGGAUCCUUGAUCGUUUCCAGUAGCUAUGAUGGCCUCUGGUGAGUGACUCUUCAUGGAGUGAGUGGCCUGCUGUGUGCUGUUCUAGCUCUGUGCUGCAGCACAGAGAGGAAACAUGCCUCAUCUUCCAGAAGCCUGGGCCCCACUGGUUGCAGGUCAUUGACAGAUCUGGUACAGAGUUCAGGGGGUGAGACGCUAUGAGGAGCUGGUGGAAGUGUGGAUGAUUGGUGAGGCAACCCAGAGCAGAGUAGGAGCUGUGAGUUCCUUGCACGCCCUUGAGUGUGCCCUUUCCAAGUUGUAGAAAGUGAGUCAACGGGCUGAGCUCUUGUGCAGUGGUGCUGUGCUGUUCAUAGAUCCCAUGAGCUCUGGUCAGGUGAACCAGCAGACCCCAUUGUGUGGGAGAGAUGUGGUCUGUGCAGAGCUUUAGUGGUGGACAGCAUUGUAGAUGUGACUGUAGAUAGAAGUGCCUAGGGCUCUUCAGAAGACGGGAGAGUGCAGGUCACAGGCAGGCUUGGGAAUACAGUGUGCUACUUGCACUUUGAGCUUGGAGACCUCAUAACAGUUAUGUGUCGAUGUUCCACAGAAGAGAGCAAGGUAAGUAGUGUGGUAGGUGAGUGAGGUACACUGCUUUAUGUGUGGCGGGGAUGAUGGGCUGGCUGAAUAUCUCAGGGCCUUGGCUUGAGGUUGCAAAGACUUUGCUUGGAUGCUAUAAAAAUAUACCUAAAAUGAAGUGUUCGAGCAGAGUGACAUCUGUGUAGCAAAAUCCACAUAAUUGAUAGGGAAGAGGGGCCUAGAGUGAACCAAAGGAACUAGAAAGUUGGGUGCCCUAGUAGCGCUGCCACCAAAAGCCAGAAAGCAAAGCCUAGACACAACAGGGAGAGGUGACGGGCCUCACAGCCCUGUGCUGCUGCAGCAGGUGGAGCUGAGCCUUGCUGCCAUUGCUCAGCUGGACCUCUGCCUUUGACUGCACAGGGCUGGGCUGGGACUUGGCUAAGCCGGUUGGCAACAUUACUUGUUUACUGGCCACAUAGAGAGAGCGUUGAGUGAUGCAAACUAAACAUUUCCUCUGUUUGGGGGUGGCACAAACUUGAGCAAAGGGACAGUUCUUUGAAAAGAUAAGUCCAUUAAAGCUUGUUUCAGUUGGGCUAGCCCAAUGUGUGUUAGUGUGCCUUCAUUGUCAUAGGCAGAGUAGCCCAAGAGACCCCAGGUAGAAGCACAUUGGAAAGGAAGACAGAAAAAUGGACUGGAAACAGGAAACAGAUAUGUAAUGCGUGUUUUGGAAAGUAAAGGUGAACAUAGUACAGGCAGUUAAGUGACAGGCCAGAAUCGAUUCCGAGUCUGCACAGCCCAGCCUCUCUGGAACCUCAGGACCUGCUGCUGUCCAGCAGGAAGGGUCAUACAUUUGCCAGGAUUCCUGGUGGCUGCUCUUUUUACUUGGAAUGAACCAGGUAGAUGAUGGGGAAGUGCUAGCUAGGGCUAUGAUAGGAGAGGGGCGGANGGUGCCAACGGAGAGCAAGACUGACUGAGCACACACGCCUGCAGAGGUCAGGAUGGAGUUAUGUCAGCAUGCGCCUGUGUGGAGAAUGUAUUUGGAUUUCAGUUCCUUAGUUUUGUUAUUGAACAAAGUGAUUUAAAAAAGCACCUACAGGAUUCCAGUCAUAGCAGUUAUGCCCUCUUUAAGGCGAGGCGUGAGGCCUCAAAAGUAAAACAGCCUGCAGAGGUGAGUCUGGUCCU